UGUGGGUGGUUUUGCAAUUUUCACAGCUAAUGGAAUACCCCUUCAUUUGAAUGCAUUUUAUCAAAAGUUCUUAUGACAAAUCUAGUUUGCUCUAUCGUUACGUACUUUAAGUGCAGUUAUGAAGAUGUAAGCGCUCGACAGCAUAUAUACUAGACUUGAAUAGAUUUUUUUACGGACCAAAACGGAUAGACGUAGAAACAUAAACUAUCUUCCGGAUAUUGACAUAAAUUUUCCGUGCUCGAAUUUCACAUUUAAUGUCCGUAUCUAUAGUUACACUUAUAUCCGCAAAGCGUCAUUAUUCCUACAAAAUUUCAAUGUCAAAAUCAGCUCUAUGUGCUCCGAAAUAGAACAACCUUAUUUUGAGUCGCAGUAAUAGGAAAAUUACAAGCUUGUCGACGCACGGAAUCAUCUCAAUUGGAUUUAGGUUAGUAUCGCUUUCCAGUUCCCAUCUAUAAUUAAACCGUCGUCAGAGACAUUAACCGCCAAUAAGCCUCCUUUGAAGAGUGUUUCGGGAAUGUAGAUGAAUAACAAUUUUCCAACUUGGAAAAUACAUCAAGUAUUGUGCUCGCAGUAAUUUAGGCAAAAAUAAAAAUAUCAAUGGAAAUAUGCACGCAUGUGAUCACUUGACCAAAUUUUAAUCAUCAGCGUGGGAAGCUUCUAGUCAACCAUGUGAUGCCGAAAGCAAAAAAGUUUGGACUUUGAUACACAUUUUAUCCGUAAUAUUUUCCAUCUGACUUGACGUCAAAUAUCACAAUUUGCAGAAUGAGUGAAUAUACUUUUGUAAAAUCUAAAUAAAAAGAUGUAGACGUUAGAAUUAGAUGCGACAAAAUUCCCCACUAGCAUGGGUGACAGUGCGGAGAAGUUUCUUUUUGAAAGUUAUUUUUUCAAAUAUUUAGGAUACCAUUUAACAUAUUAUCUAGAAUAAGUGUACAAUACUUUUCUAAACGAUAAUGUUAGGAAUAUUUUCUUCAUUUGUGAUUUAGUACCGUUUAAGUUGUCUUCGGUUCAAUUUCAUAUUUUUCCACUGUUUUUCAUGUGAAAUAGAAAAUAGAAAUCGAGAAGAAAAUGUAUUUAUCAGUACGAGUUGAAUGGCCGCAUUGAAACCAGAGUAACGUUAUUUUCGCAAUGAAAUUGCGACAAGAAAAUGCUUAAGAGGAAAAAUGGAUAAGAUAGUUGAAUUCAAUUGAAUUCAAGGCGAUAAUGGGCUUAUCGUACAAGCUUAUCACAGAGCGCAGUGCUUCUUGUUUGUAUCUUGUGAAGUAUAUGUAAGAAAAGUGUCUGCCUUCUUCCUUUUAUGUUGAUUAUAAUGUACAGACAGUUACAUCAAUAGUAAAGAAGUUGUCUCAUAUUUUCAUGAUGGUUUAGAUAGGUGGGAACGAUAGAUCCAUCGUGUAAUUUGCUCGUGUUUCUAGGGAGAAUGAACUUUGAUGACGUUAAACCUACCGGAAGCCUUAUUUAGUUCGUAUCUGAACUCUUGAACUCCAGGCCUCACAUAAUUGCCAGGGAAGAUGGCGGGCAUAUUUCAAUCAAGAGAGAAUUAGAGACAGAGGGCAAGAACUUUACAAUUUCGAUUCAUCAACGCAGUUUCUUCAGUCGACCUUUCAUCCUCCUAGUCGGAAUCUGCUGGUGGAACCCUGGAGCUGCUGGUUCAGACGCACUUCAACUCCAACGAGGAGAGCUGCUAACGAAAGGCUUAGUUGGAGGGUGUGGAGCCCCACUCGUGUGAAACUAUUAAAUCGCUAGUUACCGAGGAUAAAAUCGACUGGACUAUAAACAGUUUCUUUGCAUGUUACAGAAACAAAAAGAAAGGAUUGUGCCGUGGCCUAUCGAUAUUUAUCAAAGGUGUAUCUCUUUGGGAGUUUGUAUGAUAUUCACACCGAAAGCGGGCAGGCGCGGUCAUGAGUCCAAGAAGGGCUUUUGACUAAUCCGUUUCAUCUCUUUCGUGUUAGAGACCCUAGAACACGUCCUGGACAUCCACUUAAGGACGAUUAUGGAGGGAACGUCUUUCUAAGUCACUCUCCACGAGGGGUGGCAGGCUAAUUAGCACACCUAAUACGUGCGCCUAAAGACGUACAAAACAUUGAUUUUGUUGAAAAUUUGCACAUUUUUUUUAUUGAUAUUCUAACUUCAUUUUGGAAAAAAAUGCUUCAGGG